CCUAUGUCGGAUUAGCUAGUUGGUGAGGUAACGGCUCACCAAGGCGACGAUCCGUAGCUGGUCUGAGAGGAUGAUCAGCCACAUGGGACUGAGACACGGCCCAGACUCCUACGGGAGGCAGCAGUGGGGAAUAUUGGACAAUGGGGGAAACCCUGAUCCAGCCAUGCCGCGUGUGUGAAGAAGGCCUUCGGGUUGUAAAGCACUUUCAGCGAGGAAGAAGGCCUGAGGGCUAAUACCCUUCAGGAAGGACAUCACUCGCAGAAGAAGCACCGGCUAACUCCGUGCCAGCAGCCGCGGUAAUACGGAGGGUGCGAGCGUUAAUCGGAAUUACUGGGCGUAAAGCGCGCGUAGGUGGCUUGAUAAGCCGGUUGUGAAAGCCCCGGGCUCAACCUGGGAACGGCAUCCGGAACUGUCAGGCUAGAGUGCAGGAGAGGAAGGUAGAAUUCCCGGUGUAGCGGUGAAAUGCGUAGAGAUCGGGAGGAAUACCAGUGGCGAAGGCGGCCUUCUGG
rnacentral:rRNA from 1 species